rnacentral:rRNA from 1 species
GACGAACGCUGGCGGCGUGCUUAACACAUGCAAGUCGAACGGAAAGGCCCUGCUUUUGUGGGGUGCUCGAGUGGCGAACGGGUGAGUAACACGUGAGUAACCUGCCCUUGACUUUGGGAUAACUUCAGGAAACUGGGGCUAAUACCGGAUAGGAGCUCCUGCUGCAUGGUGGGGGUUGGAAAGUUUCGGCGGUUGGGGAUGGACUCGCGGCUUAUCAGCUUGUUGGUGGGGUAGUGGCUUACCAAGGCUUUGACGGGUAGCCGGCCUGAGAGGGUGACCGGCCAAAUUGGGACUGAGAUACGGCCCAGACUCCUACGGGAGGCAGCAGUGGGGAAUAUUGCACAAUGGGAGGAAGCCUGAUGCAGCAACGCCGCGUGCGGGAUGACGGCCUUCGGGUUGUAAACCGCUUUCGCCUGUGACGAAGCGUGAGUGACGGUAAUGGGUAAAGAAGCACCGGCUAACUACGUG